rnacentral:rRNA from 1 species
AAACGACUCUCGGCAACGGAUAUCUCGGCUCUCGCAUCGAUGAAGAACGUAGCGAAAUGCGAUACUUGGUGUGAAUUGCAGAAUCCCGUGAACCAUCGAGUCUUUGAACGCAAGUUGCGCCCCAAGCCUUCKGGCCGAGGGCACGUCUGCCUGGGU